rnacentral:rRNA from 1 species
UGGGCGAAAGCCUGAUGCAGCAACGCCGCGUGUGCGAAGAAGGACCGUUCGGGUCGUAAAGCACUUUUCUGGGAGAUGAGAAAGGACGGUAUCCCAGGAAUAAGUCUCGGCUAACUACGUGCCUGCAGCCGCGGUAAUACGUAGGAGGCAAGCGUUAUCCGGAUUUAUUGGGCGUAAAGCGCACGCAGGCGGUUACGUAAGUCGGACGUGAAAGCUCCCGGCUCAACCGGGAGAGGUCGUUCGAUACUGCGUGACUUGAGGUUGGGAGAGGGGAGUGGAAUUCCCGGUGUAGUGGUGGAAUGCGUAGAUAUCGGGAGGAACACCAGUGGCGAAAGCGACUCCCUGGCCCACACCUGACGCUCAGGUGCGAAAGCGUGGGUAGCGAACGGGAUUAGAUACCCCGGUAGUCCACGCUGUAAACGAUGCGAACUAGGUGUUGGUAGUAUUAAACCUAUCAGUGCCGUAGCUAACGCGAUAAGUUCGCCGCCUGGGGACUACGGCCGCAAGGCUA